rnacentral:rRNA from 1 species
ACAUGCCUACAACAUAUCGUUAAUGUGUUGGAUCCCAUUAGAACUCUAUAGUUAAGCGUGCUUGAGCUAGAGUAGUACUAGGAUGGGUGACUGCUCAAGAAGUCCUAGUGUUUUACAUGCC